rnacentral:rRNA from 1 species
UACGUAGGGCGCAAGCGUUGUCCGGAAUUAUUGGGCGUAAAGAGCUUGUAGGCGGUUUGUCGCGUCUGCUGUGAAAUUUCGGGGCUCAACCCCGAACUUGCAGUGGGUACGGGCAGACUAGAGUGUGGUAGGGGAGACUGGAAUUCCUGGUGUAGCGGUGAAAUGCGCAGAUAUCAGGAGGAACACCGAUGGCGAAGGCAGGUCUCUGGGCCGAUACUGACGCUGAGGAGCGAAAGCGUGGGGAGCGAACAGG